GACAGAGGGGGCAAGCGUUGCUCGGAAUUACUGGGCGUAAAGGGCGCGUAGGCGGGAUGGCAAGUCGGUCGUGAAAUCCCUCGGCUCAACUGAGGAUCGUCGAUCGAUACUGCCGUUCUUGAGGAUUGCAGAGGAGACUGGAAUUCCCGGUGUAGCGGUGAAAUGUGUAGAGAUCGGGAGGAACACCGGUGGCGAAGGCGGCAUCCUGGACCAAUAUUGACGCUGAGGAGCGAAAGCUAGGGGAGCAAACGGG
rnacentral:rRNA from 1 species